GUUACUGCUAUCGAGGUUCGACUAAGCCAUGCGAGUCGAAUGUAGCAAUACAUGGCGUACUACUCAGUAACACGUGGAUAACCUACCCUUGAGGCGGGGAUAAACCCGGGAAACUGGGUAUAAUACCCGAUAGAUCUCGACUGCUGGAAUGCAUCGAGCUCCAAAGCUCCGGCGCUCAAGGAUGGGUCUGCGGCCUAUCAGGUAGUAGUGGGUGUAGCGUACCUACUAGCCUACGACGGGUACGGGUUGUGAGAGCAAGAGCCCGGAGAUGGAUUCUGAGACACGAAUCCAGGCCCUACGGGGUGCAGCAGGCGCGAAAACUUUACAAUGCUGGAAACAGCGAUAAGGGGACCUCGAGUGCCAGGUUACAAAUCUGGCUGUCGUGAUGCCUAAAAAGCAUUGCAUAGCAAGGGCCGGGCAAGACCGGUGCCAGCCGCCGCGGUAACACCGGCGGCUCGAGUGGUAACCGUUAUUAUUGGGUCUAAAGGGUCUGUAGCCGGCCGGAUAAGUCUCUUGGGAAAUCUGGCAGCUUAACUGUCAGGCUUUCAGGAGAUACUGUCUGGCUCGAGGCCGGGAGAGGUGAGAGGUACUUCAGGGGUAGGGGUGAAAUCUUGUAAUCCUUGAAGGACCACCAGUGGCGAAGGCGUCUCACCAGAACGGACCUGACGGCAAGGGACGAAAGCUAGGGGCACGAACCGGAUUAGAUACCCGGGUAGUCCUAGCCGUAAACGAUACUCGCUAGGUGUCGGCAACGGUGCGACCGUUGUCGGUGCCGUAGGGAAGCCGUGAAGCGAGCCACCUGGGAAGUACGGCCGCAAGGCUGAAACUUAAAGGAAUUGGCGGGGGAGCACCACAACGGGUGGAGCUUGCGGUUUAAUUGGAUUCAACGCCGGAAAUCUUACCGGGACCGACAGCAAUAUGAAGGCCAGGCUGAAGACUUUGCCGGAUUAGCUGAGAGGUGGUGCAUGGCCGUCGUCAGUUCGUACUGUGAAGCAUCCUGUUAAGUCAGG
rnacentral:rRNA from 1 species